AGACAAAAAAAAAAAAGGUUCUAAGAAGUCUUACAUUUUGAUCAAGCAUGGGUUUCCCAAACUCUUUGGCACAUAGAAACUUCCCUUCCUUCCUUGUCCACCCUCCUCUUUUUUGGUUAUUGUUUCAUGUAAUAUUUAAAAUACUUUAGGCACUGCUGCUUUAGGAACAAAGCAUGAUAUAAAAUGAGUUUUACACUUUUGCAUCUUAUCUGGCCUUAGGUAACUUUAACUUUUCUGGUUGUUCAUCUGCAAAAGAUGAAUAGGUGUAAGAAAUUCUAUUUAAUAGAGUUGUGAAGCGAUAAAUAACAGUUUUUGUUUCCCUUUCCUUAGAGAAUUAACUAUCCCCUUAGAUGUAGGAUCAGAACAGAUCUCUCAGGCUUGCAGUGAUGCUGAUCCUUGCCCCCAGUGUUGAAUGAAUCAAACUGUGCUUCUAUGUAAGGAUUGUGGGCCCAAAGGGAAAUAAAAUAUGGUCAAAAUUUUCUCCUUGCUAGAGUUCUCCAGCUUGGAGGACUUAGACCCUGGCAAUCAUGGAUUAGGUUGGGAAGUCAAAAGCAUGUGGUGAUUAAGCUCUUAGUAUCUAGAGCCAGACUGCCUGGGUUCCAAUCCCAUUUCUACCAUGUAUUACCUACAUGGGCUGGGGAAUUUCCUGUGCCUGAGUUUCUAUAGCUGUAGAAUGGGAACAAUACUGGUAGCUACACUGUAAGACUGUUAUGCAUAAUUGACACUUGAACAGUGUCUGAAUAUGAUGUUGAAUAUUAGCACAGACUAGAAAGUAUGGAAGUAGGUAUAAAAUUGAAUAACUGGCUCCACUUUAGAUCCAAAAUAGCCAAACAAUUAUUCUGGUGCUCUACUGUGCUUUCGGUUUGGAACUAUGUCAGUUCUCUUUGCUAGCUUGAAUUUGACCUCAGAAAUGAGGCUGCCACUAAGGUCUUCUUGAAUUAUCUAACUUCUUGUCAUGCUCUUUCAGAGCUCUCAAGCCUUGGGAGGUCUGAGAAAAUUAGAUACAUUUUAUUAUUCCGACAGGCUGUUAACCCUAUAGAACAAGUUACGUAUCUUUUUAAUGCAUAAUGAUCGGGUUUAAUAAGAGAUUUGGCUGAGAGCGGUUAUCACCACAGAUAUGCAGGCAUAAAAGGUUGGUAGGGUGUGAAAUGGGCAUCAUGAACAUUUCACAAGGUUGAAACCAGGGCAAAGCUCAGCAUGUGGAGUGAGCUGGAAGAAUGCUCUUAGCACAGUGGUUAUUAAUAUCUGCUAAAGAACCUGACCUUUGUUGCUGUAAACAAGACCAGGUAAUUACAUGUUCAUUCUAAGAGCAACUUUGAGAUGAAAAUUGAGGCAUUUGUCAAAGGGAACAGGAAAGUAAUUUGUACCAAACAGGAACACAGAGCUUUAGUCUUCAUGUCUGACAGCUCUGGCCCUUGUCAGGAAAGAUUUGUUACUCUAGGUAGUGACUAUAAUUAGCGUUCUCAUCCAUGAGGCUCUUAUCCUCUCACUUUCUAGAAAGGGUGAAAGGAAUGCGAUACGGAUGAAUAGUCUUUGGGAAGGAGAGACUUUUUUCCACUCUUUUGGGUUGGGUUUACUGUUCUUCUGACAUCAUCUAUCCAAGAUGAAAGGAACUUUGGGUCAGAGUCACAGGCAAAUGAGGUGACCACCCUCCAGCACUGGAGGCAUUUUUUCCCCACCGCUGACUCACAAGCAGGUGAGCAAACAAACAAACAUCAAAGGCAGUCGCAAGCCCAGUUUGUUUAUAGCUUCCCUGUGGUGGCUGGUUGCCCCUGUCUGCUCCUGAAGGUAAAAUAUUUUUUCAGGGUGGCAGUUCACCAAGAACACCAAAGUUUAAAGAAAUUCGUUUAACCUCACAUUUGAUUCCCUCCUCUGAUCCUUUUGGCGAUACAUACAAAGACAGAGGCUGAUGUGAAAAUGGGGUGAUAUAAGUAAGACAUAGAAAAGGUGACUCAUUUCUAAGUCAAAUUUCGUUUUCGUUCUUAGGGUUGAUAGCUUACCUUUCUCAUUCUCAUCCUUUCAAGGUGAGGUGAAAGCACCACAUCAGUGACAUGACUUUCAUCCAGGUCAAACAGCCAGCAGAGGGUUAUCUCCGCUGAUGCCAUUGACAUGAUCCCACAAACACACCUUGGUGUUAGUGCACGUGCUUGUGCUAUGGAGCUUGUCCUUAGAAGAUGCCCAAGCUCUUCUGUGCCCUCUGUACCAAGCACUAGAUUUGUGUGGCACAGGUGUUAUGAAGCUACGAAGCAGUACAGGAUUCCUAACUAGGAUCAAAUAAAAGAUAAAUAACACUCAAGUUUUCAAGGGUGUAUCCAGGUCCUGAAGUAGACAUGCCUCUAAGUUACCCAAAUUGGCAACUGAUUUAUAUUGACAAUUACUAUUAAGAAGUAAAAGUCCUUCAGUCCAACUUUUCUGGGUGAUUUAAGAGGUAAAAUUUGAGUGGGCUCAGUAGGAAGGCAAGAGGCAGCUUUUCGGGUAGAAGUGGGCAGUGGCCACACACAUGGUAUUCUGUAAAGAAAGUGAGACCGUUCCACUGGACCAGAGUUUAGUGCAAAAGUGGUCAGGGAUAGCAUAGGAAAGUGGGCUGAGGUCAGACUGCGGAAGCUUUAACAUUUCCAACAGAAGCACUGGGCAUCUAAUUUCAGAUUAUGAGCAGCCAUUGAAAGCUUACACUGCAAAAAGGAGGGCAGGAUGGUUUGCAAUCAAACUUAGGUAUAAGAAUGAAACAACAAUUUUCCAUGAUUCAAUUUGAUCAUGGAUGAAAACUUGAUUGCUUCCAUGUAGGGACAUUCAAGGCAAACUUCCCAGGCCACCUUCCAGCUGGCAUGCACCAAGAAGGAACAGCUGUGUGUACGAGAUAGCCUGAGUUUUGGGUAUUCACAGACCUGGCUGCUGUUACUUCCAGCUAUCUUCUUGCUGUUUUUGACUUUAAGCAUUUCCUUGACUCUUCAGAGCCUCAAUUUUCUCAUCCAUAAAAUGGAGAUAUAGAAUCUACCUCCUAGUGUUGUUAGCAGUAAUUAGAAAUGAAGUCCUGGAUCAUAGUUUGUACUCAGUGAAUGGCAGCUGUUUUUACUUUUGUGAUUACUAAAAGCAACUGUCUCACAAACUUAAGUGAUGGCAAGAUCAGUUGAUUAAAUUUUGCCCCCAAAUGCUUACUAAAAAUACAUGCUUGGCAAGAAGCAAAGUCAUCUCUUUAUAUCUGAAUGUUGGUACCCUCCCCUCUAGGUAAAGAGAUAUGCCCUGUUGGGAAAGUGCGUUGCAUCUGCAAAGGAAAGCAGCUGGGCGCACAAUGUUUUCACGGAUGCCCUGGAUCCUAGUUUGUUGAUUCUGCCUCAAUCUGAAUCUCCAGGGGGAGGAGAGCUGGUGGUGUGGGCAUCUCCCCUCCUCACCCCUAUCUCUGUGGAUGGGGCCCUGACAAGAAAGCAGCUGACCACUAAAUCACAGACCUGGUUUCAAACUCUGACUCUGCAAUUUAUGAGCUGGGUGCCCCUGUACAAGUUGCUUGGACUUUGAACCUCAUGAGUUUCCUCUUUCAAAUAAGGAGGAUCAUUUUUGCAGGAUUGUUGUGAACAGAGUUCAUGGAAAUGAAGAUGCUGAGGUCAAGAAAGCCCUCGAUACGUGCCAGUGGUAACUCAUCUCUUCUUCCUGCCAACCUGUCUUCACCUCCCUCGUCCUUAAGACCAUGAUCUGAUAGAGCCCUAGAAAGCUAGACAUGGAAGGAGAAAUCGUUGUUCCUUUCUUAUCCCCUACUAGGGUUCAGUUGUAAUCCAACUAAAGUUUUCUCCCCUUCUACCAAAGGGGGAACAGUCAAAACAGGCACUUUUCUGGAUUAAACCCUUAGGUGAUAACCCAACGGAUUCAGGGCUAAGCAGAGUGAAACACUUGAUGCUAAGUCUCCUUUGGAAACUGAGGAAAGGGAAGGAGGAAUGAGGCUGUCAGAGGGUAAGAGGAGAAAUACUCAACAAUGGGAGAGUAUUUUCUAGGAACUGGUAACUAUAGGAUUUUCUUCUAAGCUAAUUGCUCUUAAAGCGGUCAUGAGUACUAGACCAGCCACACACACUAUUCGGAUACCGCAGGGAAAAGUGGACAGCUAUCUAUUCUGAGGCCUUGUGAGAAAAAUCUCCUUUUGUUACCCAGAGUCAGCUGCUUUUAAAAAAAAAAAAAAACCCACACACACAUGAAAAACAGCAGGCUCUUUCUCUCUUGUUAUUCAAAUACAAUCCAGUUUGCCAGGCUGACAGGAUGAAGGUAUAAGCAUACUGUGAGCACAGACUAAUGCCUUAAUUGGUUAUUAAUAUAUGGUUACUGCUAUUUUUAGAGGUUACUGGUGUUUGGAUAACUCAAAAAUAGAGUCGGUUUUCAUGGCUGUGUUGUGUCACAUAGAAAGCUAGGGACAGUUGAUAGGUAAUAUGCUGGACCACGAUACCAUUUCUGGAGAGCGCCAGAUGUGUUUGUUAUUGCUUUAAAAAGCCAUGCUGGAAAGUUUCCUAGUAACUCCAUUCAUCCUGGGUGUUAAUAAUCCAUCAGGACACUGCCCUGAUUGUAACUCGGUGUCAAAAUUGAGCACCUCUUCAAGCAGGUGGUCCACAAACUGGCAAUGGGGUUGGAAAUAAACUAGUUACAUUUGGUUAAAAAAUGAACCUGAUAAGGUAUGUUAUCAAAUUUGGCAAGACUUUAGGUGUGGUUAAAGAAUAGGGAGUAUAUAGUUUUAAGGAACUGAAAUAGGCCUCCCUUUAAUUCUACACAAUAUUUAAUUGAUAAAUAGGUGAAAUCUCAGGCUGAACGUUCACUCAUCAUGUAAUUAACAAAGGUGUUUGUUAUUGAUGAACUGAAACGACUUGGGAGCUAUUCAUUUCCAUUUACAGAAGAAUAAAAUAGUCAGCAGGCUUGAGAUCAAUAAAAGGUGAGUCGAGAGUUUUAUUUAUAACCUGAGAACCCAGUAACUCUCCCUCCCUGAGCCUUCUCCCACUCUGAAUUAGGAACAACCUGUCUCAGGUUAUCAGGCGCUCAUGUGGAAAAAUUCUAAGCUAUGGAAACAAUCUGUCCCUGUGGAAUUUCCCCAGUGGCACCCAGCUGGCCUCCUCCCACGUGUGAAUGCUUUGGGAUGUCACAGAGGCAACCACGACAAAGCCUAAGGAAGAUUUGAGAGUUUAAAAACACCUUGUUUUGAAUCCAGCCACCCUUCUCCCAGAUGCAGCUGGGUCUGAAAAUAACAGCUCAAAAGAGCUUCCUCCAGAAUUUGGCCCCAACCCUGCCCAUGAUGGAGGACUCCUGUUUCCAUGAGAAUGGGCCAGGAACAAAAAACUGCAUCCAACUGAGAAUGCUUGGAAUACCUGCAACUUUUGGGGGAAGACGAAAAAAAAUCUAAUGGUUUCACUGAUAAGGAUUUAGGUGUAAGGAUGGGAAAUUAUAUCCAGACAUCACCUCUACGUGUCCCACAGACCGCUAAAAGUCUGUCCCACCGAGCCCUUACAUGCGGGAGAAUUUCUCAAUUAAGCUAAAGGAAAAUCACUGUGCCCAAUUUUCAGAUGAUGGCAAUGAGGCUUUAGAUCAUAGAACUGAUCACAUUUGCAUUAUUUAGAAGAUAAACCACUAAUUUGUUUUUUGCCACAAAAAAUGCCACACACUUAGUAAUUUGGUUGAGGCUGUAACAUGACCAAUAGUAAAUUUUAUUAAGAUAGUAUGUUCAAGAUGUGAUAUAUUAGCUCACUUCCCCAGAAUUGAUCUCAAUGGUGUGGAGGAGAGCUAAGAAAGCAGCAAGAAGCCAUCAAAGUGAUGCAUGAGCAACUGAAAUGUUGUAAGCUGCAUACUCUCUCUUAUACACCUACUCACAGGCAAGGGGGUCCUUAGGGUACCCCUCAGGAACUAUUCGCUUUUGUUUUAGCAAAAGUUUUUAAACUUUAAAAGCAAACUAGAAGUGAUUGCAAAGAGAGAAAAAGGAUUUUUUUUUUAAAGUCACACGGCUGAAAGCAGAAGUGUUGGGUAACCAACAAUGAGAGAAGAAACCAAUCCAUCAAAACGACAGGAAAGUAACAGUGUGGAGACAUUUUGUGCAGGGCAAAAUAAAUAAGCAAAGCACAAGAUUCUGGUUCACACUGGGAACCCUCCAAUACCAGGAAAUAAGAUCUGUGCCAGGAAGCGAUAGGUUUUAUAAAACAGUUUCAAGGUGAACUGACAUGUUUCCUCUUUUUACUUUAAAAUAAGUGAUCUAGGAUGCCUUCACAGUAAGUUAUCUCAGUUUUCACCAUUUCCCGCUCCCCCCACUCAAGUAUCCUGAUUUGACAAACUAGUGUUUGCAGGAAAUCUAUUACAUUGACUCUGGCACAAGCACCCCUGGGUGAACAGACGCUUGAAUAAGAAAAAGCUCAGUAGAUAUUGGUGGAUUUGCUGUGUUGUUUUGUGGUUGGAGUAUAACUGACGGCGAGUCAAAAAUCGGCAGGCAAAAGAUCCCGGUGGAAGGUCUGAGGACAUCCUUGGUGGAGGGCACAGGUAGUGCGGUGACCCUUUCACUCUGAGAGGCAAGGCUGGUAAAUGGUUAAGAGUGCAGGUUUUUGAUUCACCCUUCCCUAGAACUAAAGAUUCAGAUUCUUGCAUCUUAGGACUUGGGCAGGUGACUAACCUCUGUGUGUCUUGUUUGCAGAGUUAGUAGGGGCAGGACUCUAUCUGUAUUUUUAAAAAUGCUUUUGGAAGUAGUCCAAGGGAUCAGCUAGAACAAAGCAAGACCCAAGGCAAAUGCAGCAGUGGGGAAACUGGUACGAGAGGAGAGAGGCGUGAGUAGGACCUGAGCUGUACAAAGGGCCAGCAGAGCUGAAAUUUGGAAGGUACAGAAAGGAGAAAGGAACCUAGAUGGUCUCUUAGGUUUCUCAAGACGGGAAUUUGGCCUGUUAACUAUGCUAGGGAGUCGCAGAAAAGUAAUGCUUAUGGUUUGAGAUAUUCAUGAGAAAAGAUCUUCCUGGUACAGAAAUUUGUUUUACCUACUGAGUUGACAGAGGCUUGGAGAUAGAAACAGGCUUAAGUGUCACCACUUAUUGAGUGACUAGAGGAACAAAUUGCUUAACCUUUCUGCCUCCACUUCCUUGAUUAACUUGGAAAUAGAGUUGCUAAUGCUUAGGAAGAACCAGCCCCGCCCCUACCCAAUUGUAAAUCUUCAAUCCUUGGCAGCUAUUUAAAGACAGAGCUGUAAAAACUUGUGGCUAAAAAUAUUUUCCCAAAGAUAACCAGAGAAGUCAGAGGGGGUAUUCAAACCCAGACCUGCCUCUUCACAUUUAGCAGAUUCAGAGAGAGAGAGAGUGUUCUGUGUCCACACUGAUCUCGGUGGGCUUCACAAGACCAAGAAAAGGGGAGACCCCUCUACCCCCAACCCUUUUCACUUUGAAAUAACCUGGUGAUAGUCUUUGUCAGAGGUUCUCAGGAAGGUUGAGCACAGUGGAGUCAUAGGAGUGCAUGAAAGUUGAAAAAGUCUAGAGUAAGCUUAAGUCUUCAUUUCUUCAUGAGGUGAAAAUUUAAGAGAGGCAAGAGUAGACAAAUUCGGGUUUUAGACUGAGAGGUGGGAACCGACAGAAGUAUGAUUAACAGAGAGAAGACCCCCAGUCUGAAGAAGGCAGGCUGGGAUGCGACAGGAGUAGAGAGGAGUUACCACUUCCACCGAGGCUGGAAGGAGGUGAGGAUGGGAGCCCAGGCCUUUGUAUGUUGGGGCUGGGUGUUGAAGGAGAUAAAUGUCCCCCCCAAAUUCCCCCAACCUCUCUGUGAGGUUGGAGAUUUGUUCUGCUGAGGGCCAGCAAGUCAAACACAGGAACGCCAAGGCUUGCGGCAGAGAGGGCUGGCUCCCAAGACAGCCCAGCGAGGAGACGAGACGGGAGAAGGUCUUGCGUCCUAUCUCCCAGAGGUGCAACUAAGCUACAUGCCUCUGCCUGUUGGAACAGGGAGGCGCUCAGCAUGAUUUGCGUGGAGUUUUCGGCAAAAGGUCACCAAGCCACCCCUGCACAUGCCCAAUUGGAGGCUCAGUGGUCCUAUCUGGUCUUAACCAGCUUAGUUGGAACUAGACACAGCUACCCCCAAGUUCUUGAACAACAACUGGGGCAAACAUCUUGUUUAGGUUCCAUGCAGCUUGGGGGCCAGUGUUUUGUAGCAACAAUUAAAAGGACCUUGAUGAGUAAAGGCAGGUCACAGGUGGAAUGGGUUUGACUGUUGAUUACCCAUGGCUUCAGAAGGGUCCAACGUGAGUGCAUCGCCUGAAGAUCUGAAAUCAGUAUUGGGAGGCAACGGAGAAGAAACCCAACCAGGACUUGCACAGGGAUGGAACAGCUGAGAUUCAAAGACCAAGUGUGCAGAGGCUUCAGCCAGCACGUUGUAUGAUUUCCUCCAGGGUUUGAGACAUCAGCAGAGAAGGCCAAGUCCUCAGUGUGUUUUGUAAGAUUUCUAAAAAAUACUCAUGAUAUAAACGACUUUAUGAUCCUUAAACUAAAAUCCACUCAUGCUGCAGGGAGAUUCACUAGGUGGACCACUGAGAGCAGGUCCCAGAGAAGGGGCCACUUGCACCAUUCUUUACACAAGUGAAACACAGAAGAUUCUCCUUCAUGUAUCUUUGGGCUCUAACAAGCAUUCUCCUUCUCCCAAAUUAAAAUGCAGCUGACUUCGUAACUAUAAUCCCUGUCCCAAAUGUGUCUUCCUUUAUUAAGAGACUUAAUUGAGUUAUCUCAGAAGAGAAUAUUGAUUACAUUGAAGAUUUGAGGAAUAAAAAAUUCUUGCCAGAAA